rnacentral:rRNA from 1 species
UACGGAGGGUGCGAGCGUUGUCCGGAAUCACUGGGCGUAAAGAGCGCGUAGGCGGCCUGAUAAGUAGGGGGUGAAAUCCUGCGGCUUAACCGCAGGGCUGCCUUCUAAACUGUCAGGCUCGAGCACAGUAGAGGCAGGUGGAAUUCCCGGUGUAGCGGUGGAAUGCGUAGAUAUGCGGAGGAACACCGAUGGCGAAGGCGAUCCCCUGGGCCGGCACUGACGCUCAUGCACGAAAGCGUGGGGAGCAAACAGG